rnacentral:rRNA from 1 species
UGGGCAACCUGCCCCUCUCUCUGGGAUAACCCCGGGAAACCGGAGCUAAUACCGGAUACUCCGGCUGGAUCGCAUGGUCCGGCCGGGAAAGGUCCGCCGGAGAGGGAUGGGCCCGCGGCCUAUCAGCUAGUUGGUGUGGGUAAUGGCCCACCAAGGCGACGACGGGUAGCCGGCCUGAGAGGGUGACCGGCCACACUGGGACUGAGACACGGCCCAGACUCCUACGGGAGGCA